AUGCCGCCGGACGCCACGCUGGGGCGCCACCUCGCCCGGCGCCUGGCCGAGGUCGGCGCCCACGACGUCUUCACCGUGCCGGGGGACUUCAACCUGACGCUCCUCGACGAGCUCGAGGCGGAGCAGCCGUCCGGCGGCGGGGUGCGGCUCGUCGGGUGCUGCAACGAGCUAAGCGCCGCCUACGCCGCCGACGGCUACGCCCGCGCGCGCGCCGGCGGGGUCGGCGCCUGCGCGGUCACCUUCACCGUCGGCGGGCUCAGCGCCAUCAACGCCGUCGCCGGCGCCUUCAGCGAGAACCUCCCCGUCAUCUGCAUCGUCGGGGGGCCCAACAGCAACGACUACGGCAGCAACCGGAUCCUGCACCACACCAUCGGCAUCCCCGAUUUCACGCAGGAGCUCCGCUGCUUCCAGAACGUCACCUGUUAUCAGGCAGUGGUGAACAACUUAGAGGAUGCACAUGAACAGAUUGAUACUGCCAUUUGCACUGCACUGAAGGAGAGCAAGCCUGUUUACAUCAGCAUCAGCUGCAACCUCCCCUCGAUCCCGCAUCCAACCUUUAGCCGCCAUCCUGUCCCUUUCUUUCUCUCCCCAAGACUGUCUAACCAGAUGAACCUGGAAGCAGCAGUGGAGACUGCUGCGGCUUUUUUGAACAAAUCAGUCAAGCCGGUCCUUGUUGGCGGACCGAAGAUGAGGGUGGCCAAAGCAAGCAAGGCCUUCGUAGAGCUGGCUGAUGCAUGCGGUUAUCCGGUUGCAGUGAUGCCUUCUGCAAAGGGACUUGUGCCAGAGCACCAUUCUAGAUUUAUCGGCACAUACUGGGGUGCUGUGAGCACCCCAUUCUGUGCUGAGAUUGUGGAGUCAGCUGAUUCCUAUUUGUUUGCUGGCCCGAUAUUUAACGACUACAGCUCGGUUGGGUACUCGCUUCUCCUCAAGAAGGAGAAGGCCAUCAUUGUCCAGCUGGACCGAGUGGUGAUUGGGAAUGGGCCUGCAUUUGGGUGUGUUUUGAUGAAGGACUUCCUGCAUGCGCUUGCAACCCGGCUGAAGAAGAACACAGCUGCCUACGACAACUACAGUCGUAUUUUUGUGCCUCAGGGCGAACCCCUUUCCUCUGAGCCUGGAGAGCCUUUGAGAGUGAAUGUACUUUUCAAGCAUAUUCAGAAAAUGUUGUCUGGCAACUCAGCUGUUAUAGCAGAGACCGGGGACUCAUGGUUUAACUGCCAGAAGCUGAAACUACCAGAAGGCUGUGGGUAUGAAUUUCAGAUGCAAUAUGGAUCAAUUGGUUGGUCUGUGGGUGCAACUCUGGGAUAUGCGCAGGCUGCUAAGGACAAGCGAGUCAUUUCCUUCAUUGGAGAUGGCAGCUUUCAGGUGACGGCACAAGAAGUGUCGACGAUGCUCCGGUGGGAACAGAACAACAUCAUCUUUCUCAUAAACAACGGGGGUUACACCAUUGAGGUGGAGAUCCAUGACGGCCCUUACAACAUCAUCAAGAAUUGGAACUACACCGGCGUGGUGGAAGCAUUCCAUAAUGGCGAGGGCAAGUGCUAUACGGCCAAGGUCCGAACAGAGGAGGAACUGAAGAAGGCAAUUGAGGCAUCCCUAGGACCCAACAAGGACAGCCUGUGCUUUAUAGAGGUAAUUGUGCACAAGGAUGACACUAGUAAGGAGCUUCUUGAGUGGGGUUCUAGGGUUUCCGCCGCGAAUAGCCGCCCACCAAAUCCCCAGUGA
rnacentral:rRNA from 1 species